GACGUAGGUGGCGAGCGUUGUUCGGAAUCACUGGGCAUAAAGCGCGCGUAGGCGGCUAGGUCAGUCAGGUGUGAAAGCCCUCGGCUCAACCGAGGAACUGCGCCUGAUACUGCCUGGCUUGAGGUCCGGAGGGGAGAGUGGAAUUCCCCGGUGGAGCGGUGAAAUGCGCAGAUAUCGGGAAGAACACCCGUGGCUAAGGCGGCUCUCUAGUACGGUACUG
rnacentral:rRNA from 1 species